AUUGAACGCUGGCGGCAUGCUUUACACAUGCAAGUCGAACGGUAACAGGCCGCAAGGUGCUGACGAGUGGCGAACGGGUGAGUAAUGCAUCAGAACGUGCCCAGUCGUGGGGGAUAACUACUCGAAAGAGUAGCUAAUACCGCAUACGAUCUAUGGAUGAAAGCGGGGGACCGUAAGGCCUCGCGCGAUUGGAGCGGCCGAUGUCAGAUUAGGUAGUUGGUGGGGUAAAGGCUCACCAAGCCAACGAUCUGUAGCUGGUCUGAGAGGACGACCAGCCACACUGGGACUGAGACACGGCCCAGACUCCUACGGGAGGCAGCAGUGGGGAAUUUUGGACAAUGGGCGCAAGCCUGAUCCAGCAAUGCCGCGUGCAGGAAGAAGGCCUUCGGGUUGUAAACUGCUUUUGUACGGAACGAAACGGCUCUGGUUAAUACCCGGGGCUAAUGACGGUACCGUAAGAAUAAGCACCGGCUAACUACGUG
rnacentral:rRNA from 1 species